CAGUCGCCGCGGUAAUACGAAGGGUGCAAGCGUUAAUCGGAAUUACUGGGCGUAAAGCGUGCGUAGGCGGUGAGUUAAGUCUGCUGUGAAAUCCCCGGGCUCAACCUGGGAAUGGCAGUGGAUACUGGCUCGCUAGAGUGUGUCAGAGGAUGGUGGAAUUCCCGGUGUAGCGGUGAAAUGCGUAGAGAUCUGGAGGAAUACCGGUGGCGAAGGCGGCCCCCUGGACAAAGACUGACGCUCAGGUGCGAAAGCGUGGGGAGCAAACAGGAUUAGAUACCCGGGUAGUCCCUGUCUCUUAUAC
rnacentral:rRNA from 1 species